UGGGGAAUAUUGCACAAUGGGCGCAAGCCUGAUGCAGCCAUGCCGCGUGUAUGAAGAAGGCCUUCGGGUUGUAAAGUACUUUCAGCGGGGAGGAAGGGAGUAAAGUUAAUACCUUUGCUCAUUGACGUUACCCGCAGAAGAAGCACCGGCUAACUCCGUGCCAGCAGCCGCGGUAAUACGGAGGGUGCAAGCGUUAAUCGGAAUUACUGGGCGUAAAGCGCACGCAGGCGGUUUGUUAAGUCAGAUGUGAAAUCCCCGGGCUCAACCUGGGAACUGCAUCUGAUACUGGCAAGCUUGAGUCUCGUAGAGGGGGGUAGAAUUCCAGGUGUAGCGGUGAAAUGCGUAGAGAUCUGGAGGAAUACCGGUGGCGAAGGCGGCCCCCUGGACAAAGACUGACGCUCAGGUGCGAAAGCGUGGGGGGCAAACAGG
rnacentral:rRNA from 1 species